GGAGCUUUUCUUUAAAAUCUCCAUACAAUCAGAGCACAGAACCCGUGAUCUGAGCUAAAAAUUCUGUUGAGAGAUGGUUAAGCUAACGAUUGUGGGAAGGGUGAAGGAUGGCUUGCCUCUUGCACAAGGUCAUCGGUACAUCACCGACGGCAAUGGCAUCUUUGGGUUUUACAAGCAACAAGCGGAACUUGUACUCGAAGAAAUUGCUAGAGGAGCCUUGGAGUCUCCCAAGAUGACCAUUCACGUCGACCACCAUUCCUUCUAAUAGUGUGAUAGCGAACAUUAGGAAGCAAUACAUCGACACAAGGACCCAAGCCAAUCUGUCAAAGCUUAAAGCGAACCGUAAAAAGGACGACAGCAUAGUUACAACGCAUAUUUCAGAGAUUGCCAGAAGAAGAGCGAGAAAUUUAGAAAUUCCAGAAAGCACGACUGCGAUGAAUGCGCCGGUUUCGCCUCUUUGGGGUUCCUCACGUAUGGAGGUGAUAGCGAUGAAAUGGACGCCUAUCGCCCUCAUCGUCUCGGUUGCUGCUUUUCUAUUAUGGGCAAGGGUGAACCUCGUAGAGAGUUACGCUGUUUGAAGCUUAGAAUCUCAGUCGAUGCAGUCAGAAAGUUCAGCUCGUGAUGCCAGAAAAAUCAGCUGUGAUGCUGAUUAGUAGUUAAUAUCCCCAUGGAAAAGAAUGAAAGAUGAUGGCCACUCCUCUUAAUUGCUGAUCUUCGAGUUUGCUUGCUUCUCACUCGACCCUGUAUUAUCACUAUGAGUCUCAAACGUUAGGCCCACUACAUAUUUAGACACAUACGUACACGUUGUAAACAGAUGUAUUAAUA